AGUGAACGCUGGCGGUAGGCCUAACACAUGCAAGUCGAACGGCAGCACAGUAAGAGCUUGCUCUUACGGGUGGCGAGUGGCGGACGGGUGAGGAAUACAUCGGAAUCUACUUUUUCGUGGGGGAUAACGUAGGGAAACUUACGCUAAUACCGCAUACGACCUACGGGUGAAAGCAGGGGAUCUUCGGACCUUGCGCGAUUGAAUGAGCCGAUGUCGGAUUAGCUAGUUGGCGGGGUAAAGGCCCACCAAGGCGACGAUCCGUAGCUGGUCUGAGAGGAUGAUCAGCCACACUGGAACUGAGACACGGCCCAGACUCCUACGGGAGGCAGCAGUGGGGAAUAUUGGACAAUGGGCGCAAGCCUGAUCCAGCCAUACCGCGUGGGUGAAGAAGGCCUUCGGGUUGUAAAGCCCUUUUGUUGGGAAAGAAAAGCAGCAGGUUAAUACCCCGCUAUUCUGACGGUACCCAAAGAAUAAGCACCGGCUAACUUCGU
rnacentral:rRNA from 1 species